GGGCCUGUAGCUCAACGGGAGAGCAGUGGUCCUGCAAACCACCGAUCAGGGUUCAAUUCCCUGUGGGUCCACCA
rnacentral:tRNA from 1 species